CAAAAGUGUUUUUAGUUGCGACUGUUUAUAUAUUCAAAAUAUUUCCUGAAACCAUAGAGACCUUCUGCAUUCACCCACCAGAAAAAAGAGCCCAUGUACCGCAAGGUUCACCUUGGUCGUCGCAAAGGACCCCAUGUAGAAACUCUAACUAUGAAAAUGAUUUGGAAAAGGAGCCUAACUCAUCGCUACCCUCAUCCUCCCAAAGCAAAUCUUGGAUAUCGUCUUCGUCAAAAUCCGGAUCAUCAUCUUUGCCAAAUCCUGAUCAUCAUCUUUGUCCAAAUCCGGAUCAUAUUCUUCGGAGAAAUAUUGUUCUUCCACCAGUCGUUCCUCUGAAAAUUUUUCUCCUGUAUUGGAGAUUAUGCCUCCUAAAGAGGCGGAGUCUAUUCGGCGUGUCAAGCCACUAGCAGCAUGGCUUACGCCUCUCUCAUCUGAGGUAAGAGUUAUGAUCAAACCUCUCACUCAUGCAAGCAAUAGAUCCUUAUCUUAGUUCUAGGGCCAACCCUAGAGUUUGACCCGGAAGAGAGAGACUUGAUUCCCGGAGAAG